rnacentral:rRNA from 1 species
CCGGCACGGGUGAGUAACACGUAUCCAACCUGCCGUCUACUCUUGGACAGCCUUCUGAAGGAAGAUUAAUACAAGAUGGCAUCAUGAGUCCGCAUGUUCACAUGAUUAAAGGUAUUCCGGUAGACGAUGGGGAUGCGUUCCAUUAGAUAGUAGGCGGGGUAACGGCCCACCUAGUCUUCGAUAGAUAGGGGUUCUGAGAGGAAGGUCCCCCACAUUGGAACUGAGACACGGUCCAA